AUACGUAGGUGACAAGCGUUAUCCGGAUUUACUGGGCGUAAAGGGCGUGUAGGCGGUCUUGCAAGUCAGAAGUGAAAUUCCUGAGCUCAACUCGGGCGCUGCUUCUGAAACUGCAGGACUUGAGUGCUGGAGGGGAUAGCGGAAUUCCUAGUGGAGCGGUAAAAUGCGCAGAUAUUAGGAAGAACACCGGUGGCGAAGGCGGCUAUCUGGACAGUAACUGACGCUGAGGCGCGAAAGCGUGGGGAGCGAACGGGAUUAGAUACCCUGGUAGUCCGUGCCGUAAACGAUGAAUACUAGGUGUAGGGGGUAUCGACUCCCUCUGUGCCGCAGUUAACACAUUAAGUAUUCCACCUGGGGAGUACGGCCGCAAGGUUGAAACUCAAAUGAAUUGGCGGGG
rnacentral:rRNA from 1 species